GACAGAGGGUGCAAACGUUGUUCGGAAUUACUGGGCGUAAAGCGCGUGUAGGCGGCAGGGCAAGUCGGAUGUGAAAUCCCAUGGCUCAACCAUGGAAGUGCACCCGAAACUGCCCAGCUAGAGUCUCGGAGAGGAAGGUGGAAUGCUUGGUGUAGAGGUGAAAUUCGUAGAUAUCAAGCGGAACACCGGUGGCGAAGGCGGCCUUCUGGACAGUGACUGACGCUGAGACGCGAAAGCGUGGGGAGCAAACAGG
rnacentral:rRNA from 1 species